ensembl:lncRNA
GGUGACCAUAAAGUUUGGAGGGUGGGGGUGUAAUGAACAGGAAAUAGCUGCUGUCUUUGGCUUUAAUUGUUUGUUGUUUACUUGAUGUUUUCAACUCAGCAGAUCACAGAACUAGAAUAUACUGUACAUCGAGUUUCUAGAAGCAUCGGGUUUCCAGAAGCAUCGCGACUUGAGCUGCAAGUGAUAAUACACUAGCUGCUUUGAGAUGGAUUUGAGACUUUCUCCCUCCCUUUUCACCCUUCUCUCCUCUUCCCACCUCUUCCUGAUAAACAGAUUAUUUAGGGAUUCACAAGCAGCCAGUUGAGCCUGCGCUGCUCUUGUGUACUGUGUGCUGCUGCAUUAGGCUUAGAGCCACAAAGCAGACAGAUGGCUGAGGAGAGCCAGGGGGAUCUCAUUACACGGUCUUAAUAAGGCGCUCCAGAGACGAGCAGGUAGAGACCAAGCCUGAGUGACCCACCUUUUCCUGCUUGUACUUCUUACAUCCGUUUGAGGAAAUCUAGAAUGUCUGGAACAAUUUCUGAAUGAUCAUGGAGAAAGAGGAAGAGGAGGAGGAACUUUUCACAGAGUGGCCUGCUGAAGAAAGAGAGCAGGAGAGCACAGAGGAUGAGGAUGAUGAAAAGGAGAUGGAGACCGAGAGGGAAAAAAGCGGGUUGGAUAUCCUCAGGCCAAGUGUUUCACUGGCCAAUCGCAGAGCGUCCCUUCCGUGUCCGACCCAGCUGAGUGCUAUGCAUUUGACUCAUUUGACUCAUCUGACUCACCUGCACAUGACCACCAUGGCUCCAAGCCCAGUCGGCAUGAGGCACAGGCUCAAAGAUGGCGAAGCAAGGAAGCAAGGUCUUCACUCUCAGCACGACCGAAACCAGGAUGAGGACAACGAAUCCAAGCUUGAGAAAUGGCCAUCUGCCAUCCCAAACUUACUUCAUGUCCCAGAAAAGCGGAGACGCUUCAGGAGCCGCAACGUUAUAUCACUAAGUGACGCAGACAGCAUGUGUCUGAUUUGCCAUGAUGAUCUGUGCAGAAGAGGAGGAACCAUCUGGGAACUGCACUGUUCACACAACUUCCACAGUGAGUUUGGUUAACUGCAGUGCAGUGAGAUUUAUCCCUCACUUCAUCUCAAGCUAAAGAGAGCGAUGCAGAUGCGCUUUAGUGCUUUAGUCACUCCAACUCUCUCACCUCCUCAUCUGUACUCUCCAAGCAAACAUAUCAGCUUCCAAAGCUUCAUCUUUCAUGCUAACGGCACCUUCAACAUAAUCAUGUAGAAUGCUAACUAGCCGAGAUGAGUCUCUCCCUUAAUGUGGCUCAUUUACCUACUGUAUGGUGCUUUCUCUUGGAUUUCUCAUUAAUAUGACAUUGAGCAUUACAGGAAAAUGUGUAUACAGGAGUGGUUGUGGAUGAAGCAGACUUGCCCGAUAUGUCAUAAG